AGCCGGAUAGCUCACUCGGUAAAGUAUUGCGUUGCAAAGCAGAAGUGACUCUCACGGCGCGAGUUCGAUUCCCGCCUCAGACCA